AUGGCCCCGAAAGGAGAAAAGUCCCGCAAGAAGCACUCGUGGGUGAAUGCUGACCCUGAGCCUCCAAGUCCAAAGGUUACAAAGCCGGUGCCUAAGAUAAGUUUGAAGGGCAGCAGCAGCCAAGAGAAGGUAGCAAAGCGAUCUGGCAGGAAGAAGGGGAAAGAGCUCAUCCAAGGAGCUGAGAAUGCCAAGGCACAUGAAGCAAGAAAGCCAAACACCAGGUCCAGAAGAAAAGCAUCAGCAAGUCAAGUGUCUCCCACGAACGAAGCUCCUGCUGCAGAUAGGAAAAGAUAGGCAUCUGCUCGGAGAAGCACAG
rnacentral:lncRNA from 1 species